CAGCUAGCUUGCUGCAGCGCGAGCUGUUUUUCAGCUGAAAGGCGCCCCCUGGGUCCUAAGCCUCCUAGGUCAUGCAAAAUCUAACUCUGAGCCAAGAAAGGAACUCAGCCAAGAGAUAUGCAGGUUGUGCUUAGCAGCCGAUCAGUUUGAGACCUGCGAGGCCGCAUCCCCAGGGUUUUUCAUCUCUUCUGUUUCCAUUUGUAACUGUAAGAGAAAGCAACAUUCACCUUUGUGUCACAGAUCAAAUGGUAACCCACUGAAGACCACCCCAUUACCUUGUGCUAGAACGGAACUGCCUCUGCCAUCUCUCUUUAACAGAAGCACAUCCUGAGAACCUGAGAGCUCAAGGUAAGUGGCUGAACACUGUCAACACAUACAGACAUCUAACUAUCUCCUUACUGUACAGCCAUAGCAAGAAACAAACACAUGCAAUGCUGUCAAGGUAGAAGACACCACUGUUUACUACCCCAGUCCCAAAUAUCUGUGUACGUUAGCACAGCCUACGUAGCUCUUCUGUCAUUGUCUUUUUAAGUAAACAUUAUACAUUUGAACUGAA
rnacentral:antisense_RNA from 1 species